rnacentral:lncRNA from 1 species
AUGCAGAUUGAGGUGGUGGAUUUGUCAUUUGCUUUUGUCUUUGUUUUAACUUUGUUAAGCAGAAAGUUCCACAGUGCCCUUCCCAGUGAGGCCAGCAAUCAAAAUGUCAUCAGCUUGCCUCCUCCGAUUUUCCAAUCUCUCAGGAAACAUAUAUUAAGUGCCUAUCAUACUAAGCCCUAUGCAAUGACCUGGUGGUACAACAGGGAAAAAGAUAAACAUAAUCUUUAUCCUUGUGGAGCUCACAGUUCAGUGGGGAAAUAAAGAAAUAAUAAGGAUUUUCAGAUAGCAAACUCUGCAAGACACCAGAUGGUCAGAGAAGGCUGUGUGGUAGAUGCUACCAUGUUGCCCAGAUCCUCUUCAAGAGGUAUUUGUGCCCUAGCCCCUGGGAGUACUGUCAAACACUUGGCCUUCAGUUAUCAGUCCUUCUAUGGAUUGCCUUGAGGAGAGUCACCUCCCCAAGGUCACAUCCUUCUUGGCAGGAGGGGGUCCGCAUUUAAGACUGAUUAAUAAAAGAGUAUGAGGGCCUGGCCAUAGCAGCCAGUUGGCAGCAACUCGGAAAGACCAUUCCAGCCCCAGGGCUCUCUGUAGGGCCAAUGCUGCAAUAGGCUGCAUUGUUCCACUUCUUCCUCUGCCCACUCCUGCUCCAUUCCCCUUCCUUCCACAGAGGUUAAGUUCAACAACCCUCCACAAUGUGAAACUCUGCCUCAGGAUCCUUUCUCUGGGAAAUGCAAGACAAGUGGACACUUGGAGGCUGAGAAGGAGCCAGCCAUGGCAAGAGGCAAAUGAAGCCAUACAGAUGGAGGAACAUCAAAUUCACAUCACUGGGGCAUGAACCAGUUGGCAUCUUCAAGGACCAGAGAGGCAGCUGAUGCAGUAUCAACAUAAGAAACAAAUCAAAACAUUUGGAGAUGGCAUUAGAGAAGCAGGCAGGAGCCAGACCAGGAAGGGCUGUGCAGAUCACAACAAAAUCGUGGAUCCAGUGCUAGACAAAGGAAGGGUUGUAAGCCUGGAAGUGACAAGAUUGAAUGUGCAAUUUUAAGAGAUGACUCCAGUGUCUCUCUUUGCUAGAGUUGGAAGCACAGAGACAUAAAUCCCUAUUUCAGCUUUCCCAAAUACAUGAAUUUGGACAGAGAGUAAUUCUUUUAUGAUUUGUUCAAAAGAUAACUUCACAGGUCAAGAAGAUGAAAAAUCCCUUGUAUAUAGUAAGCACCUACUAUGUGCUGGCCCUAACAAUACUUUCAGUGCAAAGUAUCUUCAUGUAGCAGAGAUAGCAAUGAGGGCAAAGAGGAAGCAAGAAAGUGGUCCAAAUUUACACAGAUUGUUAUUAGGGUGGUGCAAAAGUUACUUUUCAUGGCAAAAACCAUGAUUACUUUUGCACCAAUCUAAUAAAACCAAGUCUUUAUUGGGGUGUGAAUCUGAGUCUCUUUAUUCCACAAAUU